UACGGAGGGUGCACGCGUUAUUCGGAAUUAUUGGGCGUAAAGGGCGCGUAGGCGGUUUGAUAAGUCACGUAUGAAAUCGCGGGGCUCAACCCCGGAAGUGCACGUGAUACUAUUGAACUUGAGUAUGGGAGAGGGAAGUGGAAUUCCUGGUGUAGCGGUGAAAUGCGUAGAUAUCAGGAGGAACACCGGUGGCGAAGGCGACUUCCUGGACCAGUACUGACGCUGAGGAGCGAAGGCGUGGGGAGCAAACAGG
rnacentral:rRNA from 1 species